CAUUAAUGUUGAUUACAUUUCUAGAUUCCAUUGAUAGAAAAAAUAAUGUUUGAUAAUUUUUUCAUCUAAACAUUAUUGUUCAGUAAUAGAAUUAAAUGAAAUAAAAACAUGUUAUAAUUAUAAAAUUUUAUCUAGCAGUUAUAUAUCAUGCUUAUGGAUAAAGAAUAUUUUCUAAUAAAAGGCAUCCCAGAAUUAAUAGGUGUUAUGUCCAUAAUUAAUUUGUUUAAUGCCAGUUCUCAUUCAUUUAAUAAAACAGCUGUCAUUCUAGGCCCUAUCACAGAUCUCCAAUACUCUUGGAUUCUACUGGAUUAUAAAGGAUGGGAAUCGACAAUUUAUCAUAGCUCUCAUAUAUAUUUUUCAAGAGGUGGGUUCCUAAUUCAAUCUCACUUGUCAGAUCUUUUGGUUAAAAAGCUUUAGUGUUUCUUCAGGACAAUCUGACAAAUGUCCUGUGCACUAUAUAUUUUAAUAUAUUGUUAAUAGAAAAUAUUGUAUACUUAAGUUAGUGCACAAAAACUAUAAUAUUUAUAGAAAACUAAGAUAACUAUAGAAGUUAUAAUUACC
rnacentral:lncRNA from 1 species